rnacentral:misc_RNA from 1 species
GUGAGUCAUCGAAUCUUUGAACGCACAUUGCACCUUCUAGUAUUCUGGGAGGUAUACCUGUCCGAGCGUCAUUACAACUGUCAAGCAUGGCUUGGUAUUGGGUGUCACCUCCCUGGUGUGCCCCAAAAGAAGUGGUGAGACCAUUGGCUUCGAGCACAGUAGUUUUCUUGCUCCUGGGGCUUUAUGGCGCUCACCAAAACUACUCUCAAGGUUUGACCUCGGAUCAGGUAGGGAUACCCGCUGAACUUAAGCAUAUCAAUAAGCGGAGGA